CCUACGGGAGGCAGCAGUGAGGAAUAUUGGUCAAUGGCCGGAAGGCUGAACCAGCCAAGCCGCGUGAGGGAGGAAGGCGCAGAGCGUCGCAGACCUCUUUUGCCGGGGGACAAAAGGUCGGACUCGUCCGGUCCUGAGGGUACCCGGAGAACAAGCAUCGGCGAACUCCGUGCCAGCAGCCGCGGUAAUACGGGGGAUGCGAGCGUUGUCCGGAUUCAGUGGGUUAAAGGGGUGCGCAGGCGGGCCUUUAGGCCGGCGGUGAAAUCGCGGGGCCCACCCCCGCCGAGCCGUCGGAACUGGGGGCCUUGAGUGCGGCGGAGGCAGGUGGAAUGCGCGGUGUAGCGGUGAAAUGCAUAGAUAUCGCGCAGAACCCCGAUUGCGAAGGCAGCGUGCCGUGCCGCCACUGACGCUGAGGCACGAAAGCGCGGGGAUCGAACAGGAUUAGAUACCCGGGUAGUC
rnacentral:rRNA from 1 species